CCGGUCCGAAUUUUAAAACAUUGUUACAAUGUACUGUGAAACUAUACAGAUUUGUAGAUCAAUCAUGUUGGGCCUUAACUGGCUCAAGAGAAUAACUGGGCUGGGCUACGAGUGGGCCAAAGAUCAUCAAAAGCCCAUGUGAAAUCAUAAAAAUUCCUACUGGCCCACAAAAUUUCUAGAAAAGAUUGACAUUAUAUGAUUUCCUGAAAUCCCACAAAAUAAAAAAAAAAGUAAUUUAAUUGUUGAUCCCAUUGUUUUAUUUUAUUUUAUUUUAUUUCCUUAUUCACUCUUUACCUUCACCCCUUGUUCAAAACUCAAAAGAACCGCAAUAACUAAUAAAUAUUUAGG
rnacentral:lncRNA from 1 species